GGUAGCGAAAUUCCUUGUCGGGUAAGUUCCGACCUGCACGAAUGGCGUAAUGAUGGCCAGGCUGUCUCCACCCGAGACUCAGUGAAAUUGAACUCGCUGUGAAGAUGCAGUGUACCCGCGGCAAGACGGAAAGACCCCGUGAACCUUUACUAUAGCUUGACACUGAACAUUGAGCCUUGAUGUGUAGGAUAGGUGGGAGGCUUUGAAGUGUGGACGCCAGUCUGCAUGGAGCCAACCUUGAAAUACCACCCUUUAAUGUUUGAUGUUCUAACUCCGGUCCCUAAUCGGGAUUGAGGACAGUGUCUGGUGGGUAGUUUGACUGGGGCGGUCUCCUCCUAAAGAGUAACGGAGGAGCACGAAGGUUAGCUAAUCACGGUCGGACAUCGUGAGGUUAGUGCAAUGGCAUAAGCUAGCUUGACUGCGAGAGUGACGGCUCGAGCAGGUACGAAAGUAGGUCAUAGUGAUCCGGUGGUUCUGAAUGGAAGGGCCAUCGCUCAACGGAUAAAAGGUACUCCGGGGAUAACAGGCUGAUACCGCCCAAGAGUUCAUAUCGACGGCGGUGUUUGGCACCUCGAUGUCGGCUCAUCACAUCCUGGGGCUGAAGUAGGUCCCAAGGGUAUGGCUGUUCGCCAUUUAAAGUGGUACGCGAGCUGGGUUUAGAACGUCGUGAGACAGUUCGGUCCCUAUCUGCCGUGGGCGUUGGAAGAUUGAGAGGGGCUGCUCCUAGUACGAGAGGACCGGAGUGGACGCAUCACUGGUGUUCGGGUUGUCAUGCCAAUGGCAUUGCCCGGUAGCUAAAUGCGGAAAAGAUAAGCGCUGAAAGCAUCUAAGCGCGAAACUUGCCUCGAGAUGAGUCUUCCCUGAGACCUUGAGUCUCCUAAAGGAACGUUUAAGACUAAGACGUUGAUAGGCUGGGUGUGUAAGCGUAGCGAUACGUUGAGCUAACCAGUACUAAUGAUCCGUGAGGCUUAACCUUACAACACCGAAGGUGUUU
rnacentral:rRNA from 1 species